CUGCGGGGGGGUAGAAGCUGUGCGAACAGGAGAGCAGGGAGGGAGGCUCAGGCACAGCCUCAGAGGAGCAGGUGGGAGGUGUGGGUGGCAGGAGCACUGUGAACAUGGGCUGGAGGACUCAGGAGGAGCACAGGGCAGCCGCACAGCCAGCCAGAGAGAAGUGAUGGUUUGAAGGGGAAACUGCCGCCUCUCUCCGGCCUCUGGCAGCUUGGCUGCCCCCUGCUCCUCCAGCCUGUGUUUGCGCCGCUUACCGCUGCCUGAUGAGCGGCAGCUGGGUGCAGCCCAUGGGGGAGCGUGGGGGAAGGGGUUGGCCACUGGAACCGGCACAGAGCCCACAGGCUACAAAAACAAUCAAGAUCUCCUCCAGACGUCGUUCUAACUUGCCACUGGAUGUCAGACUGACCACAGGCCAGUUCCAUGAUCUGAUGGAGAGUGUAUAAAGCAUCAUCUCUUCAUAUGCUUUCUUACUGGACUGCAGCAUCCUAUGUGUCUCCUUGCCUCCACCAUCACUUUCUUCCUUCCUGUUUUGAACAUUGGCUUGGCAUAUACUCAGCAUAACCCUUCCAGGACAUCUCAUUCCAGACCAAGAUUUAGACAGAUCCUGUGUGAUGACAACAGGCAGGACAAGCCAUGUUUUAUUUAGUCUGGAAGCUGGUGAGAGUCAAGGAGAACUCCAGAAGCCGGAAUGUGUCAAACAGCCUGACUAAAGGACUGCCUUUAUGUUACCUACGGCCAAGUCCUGUCUCUUCUUCUAGUGUACAUGGAAAUGCAUAAUUUAAAUGUAAAUGGCCUGAUUCUCAUUCACACUAAGGCCACUUUAUGCUGCUCUAGUUGUUUAAAGUGGCAACACUUUAAGGCCCCUCUACACUGCCCUGGUAGCGCAAAGUGACAUUAGGGUAAAUGAGGCACAGACCCCAAAUGCAGUAAGAUAUAAAGCAAGUGAAACUAAGGAAACCACUUAAAAAUGCCUUUUCCAACCAACAGUCUAUUCUAGUCCCUGUAAGAAAUCACUGAGAAAGCUUUUCAUUUUGUUUUUGGAACUUUCCACCAACUCACGACAGGCAACUCUGAUGAAUAGUUAUUCUGAAAGGUACCCAAAGCAGGGCUCUCUGUUAGGAGGGAGAGGGCUGACAUGUUUGGCUAGGUUAAGGGUUGGUCAGUGCUGCUACUGCUUUCAGCUUCUUUGUUCUGCUCCUAGACAGACUCACCUGCGCUUAAGAAACUAGAAACAGGGACUCAAGCCACCAUGUGAAACCUCUCUGUUUUCUCUCACUAAAUCCUGACAGGGAGUUAUCAUCUGGGAUUAAACCUUCCAUUUAAGGAACCGAACCAUUACUGAUCUUGACAUUUAGUGCAACAUGACGCCUGCAUUUACUAUAUGACCUUGCUUAUUUUUAUGACUAGCGUUGGAGGGUAAGGUACAACCACACUACAUAGGAGUUACACAUGACUAUCAAGUGAGAUAAUAAGAGCCAGAUCCAUAACUAAUGUAAAUCAUUGACUUCAGUGAGCACACACCUGUGUCCAACAUUGUCCCAUGACUUUUUGGUGUUUGUUGUAUCCCCACUUGCCCGUCACGUCUAUCAUUUAGAUAGUAAGUUCCUCAGGACAGGGACCUGAAGUUUAUGAGCCCGAUUCUUCUUUCAUUUACACGGGUUUAAAUCAGGACUAACUCCGCAGUUCUCAGCUGAAGUCAAUGGAGUUAUAUCAGUGUAAAGCCAGUAUAAGUUGGAGGAGAAUCAGUCCCUGUUUAUGUUCUGCUCAGUGCAUUGCACAAAUGUGGGUGCUGUAAAAUAAUGAAUAACAGCUUUCACUAACACAGUGCUUAAUGAGCCAGCCUGACCUUGAGGGGUAUUGGAUUUUCAGACAAAUUAUUUUAAAACUUAGUUUAAGAAAAUUGUCCCCUUCAUUCCAUAAUACAAUGGUUCCCAAACUUGUUCUGCCGCUUGUGCAGGGAAAGCCCCUGGCGGGCCGGGCUGGUUUGUU